UGGGGAAUUUUGGACAAUGGGCGAAAGCCUGAUCCAGCAAUGCCGCGUGCAGGAAGAAGGCCUUCGGGUUGUAAACUGCUUUUGUACGGAACGAAAAGGCUCUUUCUAAUAAAGAGGGCCCAUGACGGUACCGUAAGAAUAAGCACCGGCUAACUACGUGCCAGCAGCCGCGGUAAUACGUAGGGUGCGAGCGUUAAUCGGAAUUACUGGGCGUAAAGCGUGCGCAGGCGGUUCUAUAAGACAGAUGUGAAAUCCCCGGGCUCAACCUGGGAAUGGCAUUUGUGACUGUAGAGCUAGAGUACGGUAGAGGGGGAUGGAAUUCCGCGUGUAGCAGUGAAAUGCGUAGAUAUGCGGAGGAACACCGAUGGCGAAGGCAAUCCCCUGGACCUGUACUGACGCUGAGGUGCGAAAGCGUGGGGAGCAAACAGGAUUAGAUACCCAUGUAGUCCCUGAGCGGGCUGGCAAGGCGCAU
rnacentral:rRNA from 1 species